UGGGGAAUAUUGCACAAUGGAGGGAACUCUGAUGCAGCGACGCCGCGUGAGUGAUGAAGGAAUUCGUUUCGUAAAACUCUGUUCUAUGGGAAGAAAAGGACUGUACCAUAGGAGAAAGCUCCGGCUAAAUACGUGCCAGCAGCCGCGGUAAUACGUAUGGAGCGAGCGUUGUCCGGAAUUAUUGGGCGUAAAGGGUGCGCAGGCGGCUGUACAAGUUGGAUGUGAAAUAUUGUGGCUCAACCACAAACGUGCAUCCAAAACUGCAAAGCUUGAGUUAAGGAGAGGUAAGUGGAAUUCCUGGUGUAGCGGUGGAAUGCGUAGAUAUCAGGAGGAAUACCGGUGGCGAAGGCGACUUACUGGACUUAAACUGACGCUCAGGCACGAAAGCGUGGGGAGCAAACAGG
rnacentral:rRNA from 1 species